GUGGGAUAUGGUGGAUGAGUUUGUUUAUCAGUUCCAGAGUUUCUGCCAAUACCGGGCCAAGAUGAAGAAUAAGACCGAGCAGGAAAUUUCUCUUCUGAGGCAAUUCGAUCAGGCUUGGAACGUAUAUGGUGUCCUCAACUACUUGCAAGCAUUUGUUGAGAAAUCCUCAAUUAUUCAUAUUCUUGAGGAGGAGAAAGGUGGUCUUGAACAAUUUACAGCCACUGAUGGGUAUGACUAUAGUGGUGGAAGUAGUAAUGUUUUGAAGGUUUUGGGAUAUUUCAGCAUGGUUGGAUUACUCCGGGUUCAUUGCCUAUUAGGUGAUUAUCACACAGGUUUGAAGUGCUUACUCCCAAUUGACAUAAGCCAGCAAGGUGUUUUUACUAGUGUGAUUGGAAGCCAUAUUACUACUAUAUACCAUUACGGGUUUGCCAACCUGAUGUUGCGG
rnacentral:misc_RNA from 1 species